GACGAUCGCUGGCGGCGUGCUUAACACAUGCAAGUCGAACGGAAAGGCCCUGCUUUUGUGGGGUGCUCGAGUGGCGAACGGGUGAGUAACACGUGAGUAACCUGCCCUUGACUUUGGGAUAACUUCAGGAAACUGGGGCUAAUACCGGAUAGGAGCUCCUGCUGCAUGGUGGGGGUUGGAAAGUUUCGGCGGUUGGGGAUGGACUCGCGGCUUAUCAGCUUGUUGGUGGGGUAGUGGCUUACCAAGGCUUUGACGGGUAGCCGGCCUGAGAGGGUGACCGGCCACAUUGGGACUGAGAUACGGCCCAGACUCCUACGGGAGGCAGCAGUGGGGAAUAUUGCACAAUGGGCGGAAGCCUGAUGCAGCAACGCCGCGUGCGGGAUGACGGCCUUCGGGUUGUAAACCGCUUUCGCCUGUGACGAAGCGUGAGUGACGGUAAUGGGGAAAGAAGCACCGGCUAACUACGU
rnacentral:rRNA from 1 species